UGAAUACGAGAUGCUAAGGCGUCGAAGUAGUGUAUGUCAGACUUCCAAGAAAAGCUUGCACUGUCAUAAGUAAAAAAUGCCUGUACCAUAACCGACACAGGUGGGUAGGUAGAGUAUACUAAGGGGCGCGAGAUAACUCUCUCUAAGGAACUCGGCAAAAUAACUCCGUAACUUCGGGAGAAGGAGUGCCUUAUUUUAAUAAGGUUGCUAUAACAAGAUCCAAGCAACUGUUUACCAAAAACACAGGUCUCCGCUAAGUCGUAAGACGAUGUAUGGGGGCUGACGCCUGCCCAGUGCCAGAAGGUUAAAGAAGUUGGUUAGCAUUUGCGAAGCUGAUAACUGAAGCCCUGGUGAACGGCGGCCGUAACUAUAACGGUCCUAAGGUAGCGAAAUUCCUUGUCGGGUAAGUUCCGACCCGCACGAAAGGCGUAAUGAUUUGGAUACUGUCUCGGAGAGGGGCUCGGUGAAAUAGACUUGUCUGUGAAGAUGCGGACUACCUGCACCUGGACAGAAAGACCCUAUGAAGCUUUACUGUAACUUGAAAUUGAAAUUGGACUUUAUUCGCGCAGCAUAGGUGGGAGGCUUUGAUAAUAUUCUUGCGGGAAUAUUUGAGCUAUCAGUGAGAUACCACUCUUAUAAUGUUAGAUUUCUUAACUUUGUAUCAUUAUCUGGUCAAAGGACAGUUUCAGGCGGGCAGUUUGACUGGGGCGGUCGCCUCCCAAACGGUAACGGAGGCGUACAAAGGUUUCCUCUGAACGGGUAGAAAUCGUAUCUAGAGUAUAAAGGCAAAAGGAAGCUUGACUGUGAGACCUACAAGUCGAGCAGGGACGAAAGUCGGUCUUAGUGAUCUGACGGUACUGAGUGGAAAGGCCGUCACUCAACGGAUAAAAGUUACUCUAAGGAUAACAGGCUGAUCUCCCCCAAGAGUUCACAUCGACGGGGAGGUUUGGCACCUCGAUGUCGGCUCAUCGCAUCCUGGGGCGGUAGUACGUCCCAAGGGUUGGGCUGUUCGCCCAUGAAAGCGGUACGCGAGCUGGGUUCAGAACGUCGUGAGACAGUUCGGUCCAUAUCCGGUGUAGGCGCUAGAAUAUUGAGAGGAGCCUUCUCUAGUACGAGAGGACCGAGAAGGACAUACCUCUGGUGUACCAGUUAUCGUGCCAACGGUAAACGCUGGGUAGCUAUGUAUGGAGAGGAUAACCGCUGAAAGCAUCUAAGUGGGAAGCCCACCUCAAGAUGAG
rnacentral:rRNA from 1 species